rnacentral:tRNA from 1 species
GGUGGCUCUGUGGUAGAGUGCUUGCCUUGCAUGCAUGAGGGCCUAGGUUCAAUUCCUCAGCACCA